AUUUAUAAGUGCUACUCUACAAAAUGUUUCACACCAGAGCAAUAAAUUACUAUAUUUAUUGUUUGGUGAAGAUAAAAACAGGCUAAAAAUAAUUUAAACACUUUAAGAAGUGUUGUGCUUUUGAAUGAGAACUUGUUGGUCGUAAAGGCAGAGAUCAAUUCAAGAUAACUUUCUACAUUCCUCUUUUGAUCACCAAACUCCAAAACAUUCAAGCUGUUUUCAGUCGUACGUUCUUAUUGGAUGGACAGUAUCCUAAUAACGUUCUCAAACAACAUCGAAGAUUUGUUUUCUGUUUCUUCACCUUGACUUUCCCUACAUUCUUGUGCCCUCAUAUAACAUUUUCCUAACCCAUUGGUCUGUGUUCAGCUGCUGCUGCUACGAAUGGAAACUGGUGGCUACUCCCUGCUCUUUUUGUCUUUACUUUCAAGCCAAGUUUUUUAGUCCUGUCCCCUUAAGAGAUGCCCUUGUUCUGCUUUGUUGUGCUUCUUUUAUCUAAUUUCCCUAAAGAAUAAUUGAAAUGAACUAAACUCAUGAAGAUAUCCCAAGUUGGUUCCUUCAAAAGUGAAAACAAUCCUUUAAGAUCUUGAAAAGUAGUUGGUAAAAUGUUUUUGACCACAACGCAUUAACUCAAGAGAAAAUGGACACUAAAUACUCCUGCAACAGAUUAUUCAGCUUUCCGUUGCUUUUUAUCUGGGAUGGGUAUCAAGAUCCGAUACAAAACUGCUCUGAGUUCCUUGUUCUUCAGCUCUGAAAUGUCACAAUUAGGAAUUUCAAUGAUAACUUAUCUCUGUUAAACUUGAACGACUUUAAUCUGAAAAAAUGUCAAAAUAACAUGAACAUUGCAGUAUUUUAAAACUUUCUCCUUGUGUUGAUAUUUGGAUUCAAAUCAUGUAGAAAUCUUGAAAAGAUACCUAAAAUGGUAAUUUUAAUUUUUAAGAUUUUCCUUUUAAAAUUGAUGAUUAUCAGUCUAGCAAAAUACAAAUGUGCAACCUUCUUUGUAACAUAGCUGGUGUUCCUUGUAAUUCAUUAAUUAGGCUUCCUCAGGUCUUUUCCACACACAUUAAAAAUCAGACAGAACUCGGAGAAUUCAGCAGUCUUCCCAGUAUGCUUUAAUCCGCUGUUUUGAACUCAAACAUAACUUGGCAGUGAGAUCUUGUUGGUUUAUUGUGGCAACAUGCAACUUAUCCAGAUUUUGUUGCCAGUGUACACCAGUGGAGACAGGCCAUCAGAGAAUUGAAACAGGAAAAGAUACUUUAGUCUCAUUGCAUUCACACCGGAUUGUCGGUACUAAAAAAAUGUUUGAAGAAUUCUUGGCACUGGGGAUUUUGAGUUUAGGCUCCUGACAUAGGGAUCAAUAUGUGCUUUGUUCUCAGUUCUGGAGAAGUGCACACUUCUCCAGAUUGUGACAGACUAAAUGCUGGACGAGCAAAGGAAGUUUUUUUUUUUUUUUUCUGAGUUAUUUUUUGACUCCACUUGUGAAUAUAGAAUCACUCAGCCCCAACCAGUUUAAAAUAUUGGCAGGAUGGCCAUCUCCACGUUGACCAGAAGUUCAUGCAGAAAUCAGCCAUUAUCUAAGUCCUUUCGUUCUGAUGAGCUGAUGAAGCAUUCCACCUCUUCCAAGGUUAAAACUGAUGGCGCGGGUGCAGAAACCUUCCAUGUAUAUAGGAGUUAUGUAAAUUAUGAGGACUCAUUGUAGUGCAACAUUCAAAUGUGAUUUAGGUUCUGGAUACUGUGCAAUGGUCUUAAUCCAGUGAUAAGAGGGACCUAAAGCAUCUGAGGUGCGUCAGUCUAUUGUCUACAGACAGGCAAGGCUUUAUUUGCUCACUAAUAGUUACAGCUACACUAUGUAGUCUGUGGAAGAGGGUAAUGACAGUAACAUACAGGUAGGGUCUGCAUAGCUGAUUAUUUUAGGAUAGGAAGUGCGUCAUGUAAUUGCUUCAACAUCAGCUCUAUGGAAUAAAAUGCGUCCAUCUACUGACAAACAAGUUAUCAUCAAUAUUACUUAAAUGUUCUAUUCUCAAAUUUUAAAGUAUCUUCCACAGCAUUGUGACAAGUAAGUCCUAUUAUGUUUUGACUGUUGUUUCGAAACAGUAAAAUUUUCAAAACAGUAACGAUUUAAAGGGACCUUUAUCAGAUGCAAUAAUUCUAGUAUUCAUGCCAACAAAAUCCUAAUGAUACCCAUCCCUUUCUCAACACUUAAAUAUGAGUAUUACACCAGAGUUUGUUUUCCUUUGUGUUUGCUCAGUUAUUUAAGAAGCUUACAUGUUGCUUGUAAAGGCCCGUCUCUGCCUGAAAAUACGAGAUACAGGCCAAACCAAAAACUUCGUCAUCUCGACUUGAUCAAAAUAUAAUCUUAGGAAGACAGCCCUCCCCCCAUUGGUAUUAAAGUUGAGUGAUGUGCCUGUGAACAUGCUGCUGUCUUGACUCCACAUUUGAUUCCACCAGGUUGACUCCGAUUGUGACUCAGAUCGAGUUACCUAUGACACAAUGGAUCACGAAGACAGAGAUCGAGACUGAGGAACAAAACAAAAAAGUCUGUCACUCCACUCUGUGCAUACGUACUGCAGUGUGCGUGAUCAACUCAGUCAUGUGCUCUCACAAGUCUGGGCCGAUGCCUAAGUUCUAAACAGUCCCAACGUGUGUAUCAGGAUGCGAUAUCCUUACACACAAAGAGAGAGCGAGAGAUCGAACACUAAAUGUUCAAACCACGCAAAACGGUAAAGAGUGAUUUGUCUAUGGGACAUGAGAGGUUUGUGUGCCUGUCUCUCAGAUUUCCCCGUAGCUCUCCACUCUUGGUCUGUUGUUCACCAGAAAAAUGGAUCGAUAAAGAGUUGAAGCUCUCCGUGCCAAGCGACUCCUCGUAAAUGGGUACUUAAACUUUUUUUUGGAGGGGUGGGGGGGCUGAGAUGAGGAAUCCAAACGGGCUUGGUGCUGAAAGUGAGUAAUGAAAACUGUGCCUCCUAAUGUCCUGUCUAAGUGGAUGUCUCUGUGUCCGAUGAAGCGUGAAGUGCUCUGUAACCCUAACAAAAUGACUAUCACUGUGUUCCUGUGGUUUUUAAAUGGCCUUCCCCUCGCUGUCACUGUCUUUACUUCUAUCCUGCUCAGUGUGAAAUGAAGGCCACCCAUAAAUGCAAUAAUUGGCAAGUGUUUAUCAUAGCCCUGGCAAUCGCAUGCUGUGUAACGAUAGAAAAGGUCAAUUUAUAAGACUUUAAAUGCCUCACUCUGAUCACAGCAGGUACUUUAAAAAAGUUAAAGCUGUUUUGCAACCUAUUGUAUCGUCAUUGAAGAUUGAUAAAAUGCAACUCAUGGCUGUAAUACAAACAAUAAAAGAUUUACCUGCAGG